rnacentral:rRNA from 1 species
CCUACGGGAGGCAGCAGUGGGGAAUUUUGGACAAUGGGCGCAAGCCUGAUCCAGCAAUGCCGCGUGAGUGAAGAAGGCCUUCGGGUUGUAAAGCUCUUUUGUCAGGGAAGAAACGGCUCCAGCUAAUAUCUGGGGCUAAUGACGGUACCUGAAGAAUAAGCACCGGCUAACUACGUGCCAGCAGCCGCGGUAAUACGUAGGGUGCAAGCGUUAAUCGGAAUUACUGGGCGUAAAGCGUGCGCAGGCGGUUUUGUAAGUCUGUCGUGAAAGCCCCGGGCUCAACCUGGGAAUUGCGAUGGAGACUGCAAGGCUUGAAUCUGGCAGAGGGGGGUAGAAUUCCACGUGUAGCAGUGAAAUGCGUAGAGAUGUGGAGGAACACCGAUGGCGAAGGCAGCCCCCUGGGUCAAGAUUGACGCUCAUGCACGAAAGCGUGGGGAGCAAACAGGAUUAGAUACCCUGGUAGUCCACGCCCUAAACGAUGUCUACUAGUUGUCGGGUUUUAAUUAACUUGGUAACGCAGCUAACGCGUGAAGUAGACCGCCUGGGGAGUACGGUCGCAAGNUUAAAACNCGAAAGAUGACGNNGAGAGNGCGAGAGACGACGAGGAGGAGG